rnacentral:lncRNA from 1 species
GAGGCCCAACGUAAGUAGCAUAUACCUCUCUCAUUUGACUCAUUCACACACUCUUUUAACACUUCACACUGAACUCUCCGGCCACUCUCAACUCUCUCAGUAACCAAACUCCACCGCCGAUGUCCGCCGUCAGCGGCGGCGGAGCAGCCAAGAACACCGCCAAACGCGGCAAGCAGAAGAACAAGAACCACCACACUCCGCCGCUCGAUCAACGAAACCUCCUCAGCCUCGUCACCUCCGCCACCUCACUCGCCCACUCCUUCCUCUCCCAAAACGACCUCCACCUCCUCCCCUCCCAAACCCUAACCCUAGAGACCCUCCUCUCCUCCGCCUCCUCCGCCCUCUCCCCCCUCCUCCUCCUCUCAUCUCCUCCGCCGCCGCCGCCGCAACCGCCGCGGUCUCCUCCUCAAGAAUGCUGGUUCCGCCGCUUCCUCUCCUCAGCCGCCGGCGACUCGCCGUGGCGCCACGCUUUCCGCAUGUCCGAACACUCGUUCUCUAUCCUUCUCUCCAUCCUCUCCCCAUUUCUGACCUCCGCAAUCCCUUCGAUUCCGCCCAACUACGCCCUCGCCGCCGCGAUUUACCGCCUCGCCCACGGCGCCACCUACAAGGCGGUCGGCCGGCGCUUCG